UAGAGAUAGACACAGAGAGAGGGAGAGAGGGCGAGAGACAUGUACAUAUAAAUAUAGAGAGAGAGAAAGAGAGAGAGGGAUGCAGAGGCUGUACCUUUGUUGUAUAAUGCUAACAGAAGCCCUAUCCUCCAGAAGCCACACAAAGAAGGAGGGAAUGCUGGGAAAAAAUACACACAGACACACAUUAAAAAAAGCACACACACACACACACGCAUGCAUGCUCACACGCAUGUACGGAAAAUCCAGCAUCCUCCCAGGAUUCGCCCCAAUAUCUGUCAUCCGUGAUGGAGCUCACAGGCGCGUCGCAACGUAAAGCAAGAUGCCUUCUACAGAGCUACACAGCUUGCUCGACCACUCUCUUUCUCUCUCUCUCUCAGUCUCUCUUUCUGCCUCUCUUCUGCAUCUCACUCUCUCUCCAUCCUUUCCUACCCCCACCUUUUGCCUCUCGCCUCUCUCUCUCCUCUCUUGCUCUCUAUCUCUCGCUCUCUCUCUUUCUCACUGCAUUCCCUAUUCACAGGGAUGCAUGUGCAACAUACGGCUGUCGCAAAACUAGCAGCUUUGAUAUUGCAGCAGAAUCAGAAAUACAAAUGCAUGCGUAUUACAUGCAGCAUGCCGCCACUCUGCCGCAGAACCAGACCCGAGGUGACCAGAACACAGAAGACAGCGUAUAGAUCCUCCAUCUUUCCUCCAUCGUUCCCCUGAUGUUCCACCAAUGUUCCUCUCAUGUUCUCCGUCCUUCGUCCAGACAAGGCUUUCCUGACUCGGGGAGAGAUAAGCGAGAGAGAGAGUACAGAGAGCAGAGAGAAAGGGAUCUGGAGGAGGUUUGGAUGGACAGGACAGAAGGUGAGGAAAGGUAGAGCUGCGUCACGCGUGAAAAUAACAAAAAAAAGAAAAAAGGCAAGAAGGACGAAUGUGGAUAAUCAGGGUGCUCUAAACCAUGGGGAACCACCAGCUCUAACAAUCCACCAACAAAGUACAACAUGUUUAAAUCAGAAAUUGCUUAAGAAAAUGCUUUAAAAAUAAACCUGAACAAACCGAUCA
rnacentral:lncRNA from 1 species